AAUGAACGCUGGCGGCGUGCUUAACACAUGCAAGUCGAACGAGAACGCCUCAGCUUGCUGAGGCAAGUAAAGUGGCGCACGGGUGAGUAACGCGUGGGUAAUCUACCUCCGAAUUGGGGAUAACAUUGCGAAAGCGGUGCUAAUACCGAAUAAUAUCCUCAAGACUCAGGUUUUGAGGACCAAAGGUGGCCUCUACAUGUAAGCUACUGUUUGGAGAUGAGCCCGCGUACCAUUAGCUUGUUGGUGGGUAACGGCCUACCAAGGCUGCGAUGGUUAGCUGGUCUGAGAGGAUGAUCAGCCACACUGGAACUGACACACGGUCCAGACUCCUACGGGAGGCAGCAGUGAGGAAUUUUGCGCAAUGGGGGAAACCCUGACGCAGCAACGCCGCGUGAGUGAUGAAGGCC
rnacentral:rRNA from 1 species